UGACCCCAGGUCAGGCGGAGCUACCCGCUGAGUUUAAGCAUAUCAAUAAGUGGAGGAGAAGAAACUUAUGAGGAUUCCCCUAGUAAUAGCGAGUGAACCGGGAAGAGCCCAGCUUGAGAAUCAAAAUGCCUCGUCAUUGAAUUGUAGUCCGUAGAAGCGUCCUCAGCAGCGGACCGGGCCCAAGUCCCCUGGAAGGGGAUGCCGGAGAGGGUGAGAGCCCCAUCGUGCCUGGGCCCUGUCGCACCACGAGGCACUGUCGGUGAAUCAGGUUGUUUGGGAAUGCAGCCCCAAUCGGGCAGUAAAUUCCAUCCAAGGCUAAAUAUGGGCAAGAGACCAAUAGUGAACAAGUACCACAAGGGAAAGAUGAAAAGGACUUUGAAAAGAGAGUCAAAGAGUGCUUGAAAUUAUUGGGAGGGAAGUGGAUGGGGGCUGGCGAUGCGCCUCGGUCGGAUGCAAAAUGAUGUACAGCUGGUUCGUCACUCGACUCGAGGCAUGGACCAAUGCGGAUUGUGGAGGUGUCCCAAGCCCAGGUUGUCACACUAUGCCCGAGGAGACGCCGUCGCCAUGAUCAUGGUAGGCAGCUUGCGCCUUCAUGGCAUGCCACUAGGCAACUGCAUGCUCCAAGCAUCGGCCUGUCGGGCGUCCUAUUCGACCCGUCUUAAAACACGGACCAAGGAGUCUGACAUGUGUGCGAGUCAACAGGCGAGUAAACCCGUAAGGCGCAAGGAAGCUGACUGGUGGGAUCCCCCUGUGGGUUGCACCGCCGACCAACCUUGAUCUUCUGAGAAGGGUUCGAGUGAGAGCAUACCUGUCAGGACCCAAAAGAUGGUGAACUAUGCCUGAACGGGGUGAAGCCAGAGGAAACUCUGGUGGAGGCCCGCAUCGAUACUGACAUGCAAAUCGUUCAUUUAACUUGGGUAUAGGGGCGAAAGACUAAUCGAACUGUCUAGUAGUUGGUUCCCUCCAAAGUUUCCCUCAGGAUAGCUGGAGCCCGCGGGCGAGUUCUAUCGGGUAAAGCCAAUGAUUAGAGGCAUCGGGGGCAUAAUGCCCUCGACCUAUUCUCAAACUUUAAAUAGGUAGGAUGGUGCGACUGCUUCAUUGAGCCAUGCCACGGAAUCAAGAGGUCCAAGUGGGCCAUUUUUGGUAAGCAGAACUGGUGAUGUGGGAUGAACCAAAAGCUGGGUUACAGUGCUGGAUUAUGCACUAACCUAGAACCCACAAAGGGUGUUGGUCGAUUAAGACAGCAAGAUGGUGGUCAUGGAAGUCAAAAUCCGCUAAGGAGUAUGUAACAACUCACCUGCCGAAUCAACUAGCCCCAAAAAUGGAUGGCCCUGAAGUGCACAACCUAUACUCGGCCGUCGGGGCAACUGUCAGGCCCCAAUGAGUAGGAGGGUACGAUGGUCACUGUAAAACCUGGGGUGCUAGCCCGAGCGGAGCGGCCGUCGGUCCAGAUCUUAGUGGUAGUAGCAAAUAUUCAAAUAAGACCUUUGAACGCCGAAGAGGGGAAAGGUUCCAUGUGAACGGCACUUGCACAUGGGUUAGUCGAUCCUAAGGGAUGGGGGAAGCUCGUCAGAGAGUGUAUACGCACGUGUGCUCAAGAGACGUGGCGGGGGCCUCUAGACGUGGCUGCUGACAACAACGUGGGUUAAAAUUCCUGAACUGGGGUUAAAAUUCCCGAACCGGAGCCGUUUCUAGGGUGGGUUAAAAUUCCCAAAUCGGAGACGUCGGUGGGGGCCGCGGGAAGAGUUGUCUUUUCUAUUUAAUAGCCUGGCCACCCUGGAAAUGGCUUAGCCAGAGGUAGGGUCCAACGGUUGGAAGAGCACCGCACAUCGCGUGGUGUCCGGUGCGCCCCCGACAGCCCUUAAAAAUCUAGAGGAAUGAGUGCCGACCACGCCCGGUCGUACUCAUAACAGCAUCAGGUGUCCAAGGUGAACAACCUCUGGUCGAUGGAACAAUGUAGGUAAGGGAAGUCGGCAAAAUGGAUCCAUAACCUCGGGAAAAGGAUUGGCUCUGAGGGCUGGGCAUGGGGGUCCCAAUCCUGAACCCGUCGGCUAUCGGUGGAUUGCUCGAGCUACUUCUGCCGUGAGAGAGGGUCGUCGCGUGCCAACCAGGGGAUGGAUUGGGAACGGCCCCCUCGGGGGCUUUCCCCGGGCGUCGAACAGUCGACUCAGAACUAGUACGGACGAGGGGAAUCCAACUGUUUAAUUAAAACAAAGCAUUGCGAUGGUCCCUGCGGAUGCUCACGCAAUGUGAUUUAUGCCCAGUGCUCUGAAUGUCAAAGUGAAGAAAUUCAACCAAGCACGGGUAAACGGUGGGAGUAACUAUGACUCUCUUAAGGUAGCCAAAUGCCUCAUCAUCUAAUUAGUGACGCACAUGAAUGGAUUAACAAGAUUCCCACUGUCCCUGUCUACUAUCUAGCAAAACCACAGCCAAGGGAUUGGGCUUGGCAGAAUCAGCGGGGAAAGAAGACCUUGUUGAGCUUGACUCUAGUCCGGCUUUGUGAAAUGACUUGAGAGGUGUAGGAUACGUAGGAGCCUUCGGGAAAAAGUGAAAAACUACUACUUUUAACAUUAUUUUACUUACUCCAUGAGUCGGAGGCGGGGCUACGCGCCUCCUUUUGGACCUAAGGCCUGCCUCGGUAGGCCAAUUCGAGUGGAGGACAUUGUCAGGUGGGGAGUUUGGCUGGGGUGGCACAUCUAUUAAAAGAUAACGCAGGUGUCCUAUGAUGAGCUCAACAAGAACAGAAAUCUCAUGUGGAACAAAAGGGUAAAAGCUCGUUUGAUUCUAAUUUCUAAUACGAAUACAAACCGUGAAAAUGUGGCCUAUCGAUUCUUUAGACCUUUAGAAUUUGAAGCUAGAGGUGUCAGAAAAGUUACCACAGGGAUAACUGGCUUGUAGCAGCCAAGCGUUCAUAGUGACGUUGCUUUUUGAUCCUUCGAUGUCGACUCUUCCUAUCAUUGUGAAGCUGAAUUCGCCAACUGUUGGAUUGUUCACCCACCAAUAGGGAACGUGAGCUAGGUUUAGACCGUCAUGAAACAGAUUAGUUUUACCCUACUGAUGACAGUGGCAUGAUAGUAAUUCAACCUAGUACGAGAGGAACCAUUGAUUCACACAAUUGGUCAUCGUGCUUGGUUGAAAAGCCAGUGUCGCGAAGCUACCAUGUGUCGGAUUAUGACUGAACACCUCUAAGUCAGAAUAUAGGCUAAAGAAGCAAUGCAUGCACCCAUCGCCCAUUUGCGGAACCCGCAAUAGGGGCCUCCCGGCUCCAACCCCCGCGACGGACGUGUUACGUGGGGCCGCCUUGAAGCGUAAUUCUUGUCCUAUCAGGCGACGGGUAGAAUCCUUUGCAGACGACUUAAAUAAACGAUGGGGUAUUGUUAGUGGCGGAGUGGCCUUGCUACCAAGAUCCACUGAGAUUCAUCCCCGUGUCGCAUCAAUUCGU